rnacentral:snoRNA from 1 species
GACCAAUGAUGAUAAAUCUUAAGGCUUGUUUCUCAAAACAUUCGCAGUGGCCGCCUAAGAGCUUUCACCUUUCGCCAGGCUUGAGAGUUAAUGCUGCUAGAUCCUUCCUUGGAUGUCUGAGGUC